UACAGAGGUCUCAAGCGUUUGUUCGGAUUUACUGGGCGUAAAGGGCGCGUAGGCGGUCAGCACAAGUCAGUUGUGAAAUCUCCGGGCUUAACUCGGAAAGGUCAACUGAUACUGUGCGACUAGAGUGCAGAAGGGGCAACUGGAAUUCUCGGUGUAGCGGUGAAAUGCGUAGAUAUCGAGAGGAACACCGGUGGCGAAGGCGGCAUCCUGGACCGGUAUUGACGCUGAUGCGCGAAAGCCAGGGGAGCAAACGGG
rnacentral:rRNA from 1 species